AGAAGAAAGCCUUCCUGAUGUGGAGAAACGUCUACGCAUGCGCAGCCUUAGUGCUGCUUACCGCAGGCAAACCUAGGAAGCUGACGUAGUCUGCUUUAAUGUCUAUACACACACGUGACCUGCUGACGUAAAGACAACCGGAUCCGACAUCUGCUGCCCGGAUCUUCCCCUGCAGGUAAAUAAGGUCCGCCAUCGGGAGUGCAAACAAACGUCAGACGUCACACGUUACCUGCGGCAUCAACAUGAGAGUAGUUGUCCUUCUGGCUGUGGCGGUGACCAUGACAUAUGCACAGGUCCCUGGGACAUACAGAAUCACAUGUGCCUCAACUACUUGUCUGGUAAACUCCAUUUGUCGUGAAGUGCUGAACACAACUUCGGCGAAAUCGUUCCCCUGUGUUUUGACCCCAUGCGCU